rnacentral:ncRNA from 1 species
CAUCUAUAUCUUAACUUUAAGAAUGAAAUAUUAUUGUGUUUGAAUCUAAUGAAAGGUUCUUAUAUCACCACCCGUCGCUACUACCGAUUGAAUGGUUUAAUAAGGUCAUUGGAUUGUUGUCGUUUUAGUGGCUUUUCUGCUCGACUGAUGCUGAGAAGAUGGCCUAAUUUGACUAUUUAGAGAAAGUAAAGGUCGUAACAAGGUUUCCGUAGGUGAACCUGCGGAAGGAUCAUUA